rnacentral:rRNA from 1 species
UACGAAGGGUGCAAGCGUUAAUCGGAAUUACUGGGCGUAAAGCGUGCGCAGGCGGUUUUGUAAGUCUGACGUGAAAUCCCCGGGCUUAACCUGGGAAUUGCGUUGGAGACUGCAAGGCUGGAGUCUGGCAGAGGGGGGUAGAAUUCCACGUGUAGCAGUGAAAUGCGUAGAGAUGUGGAGGAACACCGAUGGCGAAGGCAGCCCCCUGGGUCAAGACUGACGCUCAUGCACGAAAGCGUGGGGAGCAAACAGG